AAGAGCUUUAUAUAUAAGUUUAGGUUUAUAUUUAGUGGUUUAUAAAAAUUUAAAUUUAGUAUAUUCUGUUGGGGUGACAUAAAGAUAUAAUUAACUCUUUAUUUUAGGAACAUUGAUGUAUGGAUUAUUGAUCCAUUUUUAGUGAUUAUAAGAUUAAGUUACCUUAGGGAUAACAGCGUAAUUUUUCUUGAGAGUUCAUAUCAACAGAAAAGAUUGCGACCUCGAUGUUGGAUUAAGGAAUAUAAUUAGAUGCAGCUGUUUAAUUAAUAGGUCUGUUCGACCUUUAAAUCCUUACAUGAUCUGAGUUCAAACCGGUGUGAGCCAGGUUGGUUUCUAUCCUCAUUGUUUUUUUAUACUUUAGUACGAAAGGACCAAGUAUUAUAAAUAUUUUAUUAUAUUUGAUUAUUAUUAACUAUUUUGGCAGAUAAGUGCCUUAGAUUUAGAAUCUAGAUAUGUAAUCACUAAUUACAAAUAGUAUUGAUUUGAUAUGAAGUGUUAUUAAGAGUAGUAAGUUCUUUAUUAUUAAUUAUUUGUGUAUUAGUAGGAAUGGCAUUUUUAACAUUAUUGGAGCGGAAGGUUUUAGGAUAUAUUCAAAUUCGGAAAGGCCCAAAUAAGGUUGGAUUUGUGGGGUUACCUCAACCUUUUUAAGUGAUGCA
rnacentral:rRNA from 1 species